rnacentral:lncRNA from 1 species
UCGUUGCUUCCAUAUCAUCCUAGCAUCAAUAUCAUCCUAGCAUCAAGAUUAAAACUUAGUCUAGCGUAACACAAGUCGAAAAUGAAGGGAAAAAGGUAAAUAGGUACUUACAAUAGCUUUCUAAACUGUUUCACUAAAUCUUUUUCUUGAUGUAAUGCAUCUCCUUCAAAAAAAACAAUUGCACUUGGUUAUAUUUUUCUUGUCGCUGAAAAGAUAUCAAAUAUAUUUAGUGAGCAUGUAGAUCAAAACAUAAGCUAUAGGUUGGUUUAGAAAUAAUUGGGAAAACUUAUAAGACAUAUAAAAAACUCAAUAAAUAUCAUAUAAUAUUUUAGAGAUGCUAACUAAAGAUCACCGUGUGGGCCAGGGUUGUGCAAACAACAAACUGGACCUACCUAGGGGACCAUAUCAAGCAUGCUUAUGAAGUAAAUGCUGAUGCCAUAUACACUAACUUAUGCAGACACUGGAAAAAGUGCAAGUACACAUUAUUACCUGAGUUUUUUAUUUCAAAACAUCUUGCCCCACCACAAGCGACCUAACUCGUUAGUCCAUUAUUAGCCCAUCCAUGUCAACCUGAUUAAAAUUCUCAAAAUCAGAAUCAUAUAUACAUUUUAGUUCCAUGUGGCAUGUAUACAGCUUGAUUGUUCCUUACAAACUGGGGAAUAACACAUUUUGGAUGCCAUUGUCCAUAGAAAAAUAAAUGUGAAAUUCUGAAAACCAAUUGGAAGGAAACAAGCACAUAUACAAAUUGAAAGGCAUGGACAGAGAUAGCUCCAGAAAACUGUAUUCACCAAAAGUUAAAUCAACAGAUACAAUUCAAAUACCCCAGCUGGCCAGCUUAAUAUGCGAUGAAAACCAUACUACAAAAUUACAGAAACAAAUGUAAGAGACAACUUAAAAGACGCUAACCAACAAUAAUUACAUGUAAGCAGAUAGCAUUAGAGCAUCUUUUGUCCAUGAAACUAACGCUGACAUUAAUAACUACAUUCAGCAGUCUGAUUGCAAAGACACAUUUGGAAUAAAAGGAAUAAGAAACGUGGACUAAUGCAUCAUCCGUUGACACUGAUCGUUGGAGAUAACGUGAAGCGAGAGUAAACGGAGCCAAAGAAACGGGGGAGGAGGUUCUGAAACAGAGACAUACAGAGGAUGCUUCGUCGUUCCCCUUGAACCGAGCAACAUAUGUUUAGCGGCCAGCACACCAUUCUUGCCGAAGAAGCAUGCACAUCUUGUCAAGUCCGCUAAAAGCCUAACAUUCGUUGACUUCGAACGAAAGAAAAACUGCUGUGAUUGUUCCACUCGCACCGCACGCUGCAAAAAACAAAAAAAAAGUUCAACACCACGUGGGUACGUACAUCUUGACGGUUCUGGUUGACCCAACUACCUCCUCCGUGCGUGCGUGACUGACUGGCGACCGCCACGGAGGCAGCGUCUAGGGAUUCCGAAGGCCAACAAGUCAGAGCAACCAAGCACACACGCUGACAUCUUUUUUUUGUAUUUAUUUUGAGAACGAGAAUGGUAGGCGGACACCUCGGUUGGUUAUCCUCGGGCAAAGAUCAGCUCACAGACUCCAGCUGGGACGCAAAUGACACAUAGUACCUCGACGACAUCAACUUGCGGAUGAUGAUUCUGAAUUUCUGAUGAACCGCGUGAGUGUCUCCAGGCGUGGUGUGCACACCAAGCACGCACCGUGGUUUCUUCGCAGGCACGGUGCUGUAGACGACCCCGACGGGGCCCUUGACGAGCUGCAGCGCCGCCACCGCCUCGGGGACCAUCACGAACUUGCCCUUGUCGUCGCAGUACACAAGGCGGAGCGGCCGCGCCGCCGUCCCCCGCUCAUGGCGCGGUCGGUGCAGGCGAGGGAAGGGAAGAGAGAGGUGAGGGGAGAGAUAAGAUGGAAGGGAGACAUAGAGGCCGGCGGCGGCUGGGAGAAAAG